UCGAGGAUCUUUGGCAAUGGGCGCAAGCCUGACCAAGCGACGCCGCGUGGACGAUGAAGGCCUUCGGGUUGUAAAGUCCUGUCGAGGGGGAUCAAGGGGCAACCUUGAGUGAUCCCUGGAGGAAGCUCGGGCUAAGUUCGUGCCAGCAGCCGCGGUAAGACGAACCGAGCGAACGUUGUUCGGAAUCACUGGGCUUAAAGGGCGCGUAGGCGGCUCGCCAAGUCAGGGGUGAAAUUUUGCGGCUUAACCGUAACAGUGCCUUUGAUACUGGCGGGCUCGAGGGAGGUAGGGGUCUGUGGAACUUCUGGUGGAGCGGUGAAAUGCGUUGAUAUCAGAAGGAACGCCGGUGGCGAAAGCGACGGACUGGAUCUCUUCUGACGCUGAGGCGCGAAAGCUAGGGGAGCAAACGG
rnacentral:rRNA from 1 species